CCCCGCCACCGCGACGACAUUUGCGGCGUCCUCCCCGCGCCCGCAGCCCCCGCCCCGUCCUCGUCAAUCCGCUCCGCCAGCAAAUAGAGGAAGUUGCGUCCCAAUCCCACAGUGCUUCCACCUCGACCGCCUAUUGGGCUCCCACGCCCAUUCCCACCACCUCACCUUGCUUCUAUUGCUGUGCUCCGCCACAGAGCCCUAAGUGGAGCUACGAAUCCCGUGAUCCCCGACGACGCUGCACAGUAGCUCAGUGGUGACGACGAGCACGUCCCCCUCAUGCUCUAGGUGGAGCUACAAACCCCGUGAGUCCAUGCCCGCACCCUCACCUCUGUCCUCCCGCGAUGUCCCCGCCACCCUCCGCCCUCACCUAACGCGAUGUCAAUGCCCCCGGCCAAGGAGCCUCCUUCCUCCCCCAUCCCACUCGCGUGAAUCAACAUGUGAGGUCGUCCUCGCCCCCCGGUCCAUUGUGGCAGACCAUGCUCAGCAUUGCCGCCAAGAACACGACUCUCCUCGAUGUACUGCUCUAUCUCGGGGACCUCGCCUAGCACUGCCCCCCGGCUCGCGUCGACGAGGUGUAGUCCUCCCUCACCCGCACCUUUCAGAUGAUCCAGAUUGAUCUCCAUGAAGCUCGUCAAAGCAUUGAACAACAUAUAUCCCCAGAGAAUAUCUUCUGCGCUGUCCUUGAAACUGUUGCUCAUGCCCAAGUUAGUCUAUGCAUUUGUUAGUCUGCUCAGGCCCAUGUUUAAACUGCUGCUCAGGCCCAUAUCUGCCCUUGUUAGUCUGUGCAUUUGUUAACUGUCAUUAUUUACUGGACAUGCUUUUUUAUCCCCUGAGACAUCUGGCAACAUAUGUUAAAACUGAUUCAUUUUUGUGUACUAAUACAAUCUGUUGUCAAUCAAAGGUGAAAUGGUAUAUUCUAG